CACCAUGCGGCCGUGAGGUCACUGACCCCCUAGUCUGUGAUGUGAUGCUGAAAUGCAUGGGUGGGUGGGUGCAUGUCUGCAGCAGCUGUGUGGUGAUGAGGCAGAGGUGCGGUGUGUUUGAAUGUCCUUUGGUUGGUUGUGUGAUCAUAGCUGGUGACAUUCUACCUCAUAAACAAAUAUACCCUCAGGGGUACACAUUAAAACUCAGUAAACAGUGACUCUUUUCACAUUCUUAGAGAUACUGUCUGCUAUUUAGAAAUUAGUGACAAUUGAACAGUAAUCUCCCGGGAGACAAAUUUUGCAGUUUGGUUUUUAUUAUCUUGGUUCCUAGUAUAAUUUUUCAUUUUAACCUCAGGAUUUGUUUUUCAAAAAAGUAGUUUUCAAAAAAGAAAAUUCUUAAACUUUUCUAUGUUCUCUGUUACUUCUUUUGUGUUUUAUGGUGCUGUGUCUUAGUAAUUCCGUUCUGUUGGAGCCAUCACCUGGAUUUGGCUGGCUUGCAUUUCUUUCAUUAAUUUAGCAUCAGGAAACUUGCACAGUGAUGAAUUUUUUAAUUAUGUUUUGAGAGAUUUUUUUCCUGACACCUACACUCCAGUUGCUUUUCCCUGCUUCCCUCACUACAGUUUUUAAGGAAAAUUGUCAGUAAGUGUCAUUAUUCAGGCCACAUGUGGAUUGCUAAUGACAGCAGUUAAAAGAUCAUGUUUCUGCUUUACUUUCUAUUUAGCAGAGCGCUUUCACAGGCUCUGUCUCCUGUGGUUUUUAUAACCAACAGGUGACUUACUUAUUGCGCCUUCAUGUUGCAGACAAGGAAUCCGAGGAUACGGCACGAGGCAGCUCAGGCAGUUCACCCUAGGGCUGGGCUGGUCGACCACAUAAGGGUCUCGGUUCUGUUUCACGCUUCCUCCCAGGAGUGGGGGUGACAGGACGAACCCCCACCCCCCACCCUUUCCUGUACAGAGCUGUCUCCCUGACAUCUUGGCUGUGCUCCUUCCCAGGAGGGAGGAAGAGGUAGGGCAGAUCUUAGGGUAUCACUGGUCACCAUCUGCGGAAGAAGAGUGGGCUUGAAAGGCAGCCAAUGCUGAGGGCCGCCCCUUUGCCACACACCCCCAGGACGCCUGGAUGUGGGGACAGUGUGGGGAUGGAAUGAAGCGGGAGCUGGUUCUCAACCCCACCUUCUGUUUUCCAGAGAUGUGUGAACAGCCAGCAUGUGUCAGGAACCCAUCCUCAUUCUGGUGUCCCAGGCCUCUUUCAGAUAGCCGGGAGGGUGGAGGCAGGCACACACGGGCCGUCAGCUUUCUGUGAAAUGCUUCAGCUACCUCACUGUCUUAAUGCUACUAUGUUAGUAUUGUAUGUGUGUAUACAAUACGGUACAAGUCAUGUGUACAGUAAACACAAGUAGGUUCACAUAAACAUACACAUAGUCACAUAUAGGGGAGACUCACAGGUAUAGACACCCACGUAGACACAGUCACAUAUACAGUAGACACACAAGUACUGACACAUAUAGAUGCAUACAAAGUCACACGUACGUACAGUGGACACAGGUACAUACAUAGACACACACUCAUACACACACCAAUGUACACAUAACCCCACCAAGUAAAUACAUAUGUAGAUACACGUGUAAACACAGACGCAUGUAGACACAUAGGUACACAGCACACAUGUAGACCCACAAACGUAACCACAUAGGUACACACACAGAUACAGACACACAGGUGCAUAUGUAGACCCAUAGACACACAUGUGUAGGUACAUGUGUAGAUCUGUACACAGACACACACAUGUAGACACACGUGGACACCGACACGCACAGACACAUGUGGAUGUGUAGACAUGUACAUGUAGACACACGUUUACUAUCACCGGUAUCUUCAGUUCUCACAGAGACUAGGUAAGUGUUCUUUUUUCCAUCUUCUAGAUGAGAAACUAGAAGUUCAGGGAGGUAUGUGAUUGUUAAUGAUAGCCCAGUGAAUAGCUCAUCAAAACGGUGCAAGUCUAGCUUUGUCUGGUCUGUUAUCUGGCUUCUUACCACAUAGCAGACUGCAACUUGUCUUGUUCUCCAGGCUCUAACUUUCUGUGUUAAAUUUUUUUUUUAAUUGGAAAUUAAGACAUAGCACAGUCUAUUUCCUGUGUUACCUCUGUUUCCUAAUGAGGAGGAGUGGGGAAGAUAACCCUAAGUUUACCUGGCAUUUGCUAAGGUAUAUUUUGCUAAUCCUCCUGGCUAUUAUUGUAGGAGACAGGAGAGGUGCUGCUUGCCUCAUUGUUUUUCUUUUCAAAGAGAAAAGAAAACCUCUGUCGUUGAGAGACGUUGACAAAGUACGAAACGGUGCUGGAGCUGCCUUGGCCUCAGGUGCAUUUCCAUGAGCCUGUGUAGGGAGAGUGGAGUAGAUGUGGGAGGGAAGCGUGGGUGGAGGGUGGUAGUGGAGGAAACUGCACCUGUCUCCAUCCGGGCCACCUGGAGCCCUCCUUCGGAAUCUCUGCUCACAUCAGACAGCAUCCCCAUGAGGUGGUGUAACACCUGCUGUGCUUGGUGUCUGCCCUUUCCAGUUAGAACCCAGACUCGGGGAUGAGCUCAGAGCUCAGCCUGCUUUGGGCAAAGGAGCUCACAGUCCAAGGGAAGAGCUGGACCAGUGACCUAGUGUUAGCUGGUGACACUCCUCUGCUCUGUAUUCCGGUAGCUUCCGUCGGUCUGAGAGUAAGACUCGCAUCUACCGUCUGUGUGGUCUGGGUUCCCGUUAUUCCCUGGUCUUUCAUAUCAUCCUCCUCCCACAGCUUUGCUGGCUUCUGGAUGUUUCUUGAGCACCUGAUUGCUAUGGGGCCUUUUGCUUCCUGCUCCUGCUGCCUAGAACGUUCUCUCAUGUAUAUACAUUGCUUGUUACCUUUCCAUCAGAUCUGUGCUCAAGGGUUACUGCUUUUGUGAGGCAUUCCCUGACCACCCUGUUAAAAUGGUAAGACACGGUAUCACCUUGUGUGUAGUCCCUACCCUUCCCCUCCUGAUUUCAUGUGUGUCCAUUGAGUUACCAACCCCAGCACUAUCAGCCAUCUGUCUUCCUGCCUACCUGCCUGUCAUCUGUCCAUCUAUCUGUCAUUUUGCUACCUAUGGUAGUAAUCCAUAUACCAAUUUAUCCACCUGUCUGUCUACCGUGGGAAUGUAAGGCUCACAAAGACCAGGGUCUUUCUUGUUUAUUCAUGUAUGGCAAGCAUCGAAAGUGGUGCCUAGUUGAUAGUUCUGGAAGGAAGGAAGGUGAAGGAGCAUAGCACAUUUGGGGAAAAGCAAGAAGUUAGGUGGGAUGGCCAGAUUUUAAGAUCUGUUGUGUACUGUGCCUGAGAACUUAGACGUUAUAUUGAAGAUGACAGGGUACUCCUUGAAGAUUUUAUGCAAAGGCACAAGAGGAGAGGAUUUCGGGUUUGGGAAGGACUUUGGCAGCUUUAUGGCCUAUGGAUUGCACGUAGAGGAAUUGGAAAAACUCUGAGAUUGAUGCACGUUUAGGAGAGGCAUCCAUGCCAGUGAGAUCUGACAUCUGUUUAGAAGGUGACAGCAACAGGACCUUGAGGCUGGGUCAGCAUGGGGGCACGUGAGGUGGGAAUUCCUGGUGACUGGUGCCCUCCAGCUGUGUGGGUGAUGGUCUCCAGUUCCUCUUUAGAGGAUUAAGGUUUUUGUAAGUUAAAGAUGGUGGGAUUUGUCCUGCUGUUCACUGUGUAAAGAAUACUAUGAAAAUGUUAUUCCUUAUAGACUUCUAAUUUUUUAAAAUUCAUACUACUGUCAAUUUUGAAUAAAUAAUAACUGCUUAAUUUACGUAUAGGGGAAACCUAUCCAGAAGCUCUUCGCAUGUGCUUGUGAAUCUCAGCGGGGUUUCAUCAGGACUGUCAUCUCCUAUGACCCACACAGAGCACCUCCCCAGUGUCUCGUGGUGGCCACCCUGGAGGAGUGCUCGUGAGGGCUCGUGGGUCACUGUUCAGCCCAUUUGAUGGUCUCACUCAUGACCUUAUUCUCUAUUUCCUGUUGUUAAAAUAGACUAGUCAUGAGUUUUCUUAAUUUAGACAUUUCACUAAUACACUGUAAGUUACUUUCUCUUACAGUAUAUAUUCACAUAUCAUUUUUUAAAAUAUGAUGUGAAACUUUAAGAGCUUAUUGUAGUCUAUGGCCAGUGUACAGGUGUCAGGAUUUUCUGGUUUGUUUUUUCCUGAGCCAGCAUGGAAGAUUUAAGAGACUCAAAAGAAAAAGUUUUGUGGCCCUCAGGAGAUUUUGUUUUCUAAAAUUCUUAGACCACUCAGUUUGCAGCAGAGGUACUUUGGAUGCUUUAGUGAUCAAAUGACAUCAACCAAGAAGUAAUUCUAUUAUCUCAUUGAUAAUUGCCCUAAUUAACACUCAAUCCAGUCAACCAUAUAGCCUCAAAUUUAAUCUCUCUUGGCUAUACUUUUCCAUUUCAUUUCCAAACCCAUGGUCUUCCAUUGUAAUGAAGUCCUACUGGAGUUCUUUAUAGUAGUGUGUACCUUUCUCUUUUUAAAAUAACUUUAUUUGGAAACUUAAAUUUGUUUUGGAAAGUGAAUGAAUGCAUGAAUGAACAAACAGGCAUUUCCUGAGUACCUAGAAAAUGUCAAACUCUGUAUUAGGAACUCUGUUACUCUUACUGAAUAAGUCUAGGUUGGAGCUUAAAGGGAGUUUAGCUGUUUUUUUACACCCUUUUCCCCCAACCAGGAGUCCUAGAAAAAACUUGGAAGAUUUGUGUUGUUUCUAUUCCUACCAGGACCAACUAGGAUACCUUAAAAUAAACAUGGAGCAUACAGUUUCCUACUAUAGCAUGUUUAAAACGAUGGUUUUGUGUCUUGGUGAGCUGACACACAGCUUUAAGAAGCACAUCCCAGUUCAUAUGUGUGCCUGGACCAGAGAGGUUGCCUUCCAGGGGCCCGACACUCCGGGUGGAACACCACAGAGCCCUGUCUCCCUCCUGCGCAGCAGACUGAGACAGGUCCAGGGACCCAGGGGGACCCCCACCCUCCAGGGACAUCUGUGAGGUCAGACUGUUGCCAGAGUAACACUGUCACAUGAUCUGCUGUGUCCACACCCAUCCCCUCCUGGUCGUACUUGGAUUUUCCUGAGGCUGCUGGACACGUGCUGCGUUCUGACAGUUGGUGCAGAUGGUGAUUGUGAAAUCUCACAUUUUAAAAAGUUUUUCAGUUUACUUUCUACUACAGUAAACAUCAAGACGUCAGUCCUAUAAACAAAAGCUUUUAAAAUGUUUUCGCCCCUUUUUAACAGUUUAAAAAACAUCCUUUGGGUCUAAGAGUUUGAGAACCACUGCUAUGUGGUAAAAAUGAAAUUCCUCUUUCAAACUUGAGAGAGGAUAUGAGCUACAAACUUCCACGUGCGAACCCCUUCCCGAGGCUGGCUCUGCGCUGCCGACGGUUCACAGUCUGACUUACUCCAGCGAUCAGUUGCCGGUGUCCUGGCACCCGUUCAACACGUGUGCUGACACUUUCGCGUGCUGCGCUUUUGCUGUGCACUGUCGCCGUAUUUAAGACCAGCGGCUGCUGCACCGGGCAGUGCAGGCGUAGAAAACUGCCACAGCAGAAGGUGUCAUCCCACGGAGCCGCGCUAGAACCACGGCUGUGAGAGACUUGGAAGAUGGAAGACGUGGUUGGAGACAGACCAUAAAGGCCUAUUUGUCCAAAACUAAUGAAAACGAACUCAUUUUUGAUGUCUGGGCCUAGUCAUGUAAACAGAAAAUGACAGUCAGAUUUGCAUGUUGGAAAUGUCCGUGUGUAGCAGGUAGUGUGGGAUAGGUUGGUUGAAGUGGAGUGGGUUCCUGUCUGAAAGCAGGGAGACGUUAAGAGGCUAUUGUAGUUCAGGUGAAAGAAUAGUCAAAAUUUGUCGGGUACAGCGAAGUGUUACCUAGAAAUUGAUAGCCUAAAAUAUUUACAUUAGGUAAUAUGAAAUCCUGGAAAGUGAAGAAAUAAGGAUUUAACUUAAGUUGGAAAAGGAAGAUUGAGUAAGUCCCGGAGAAAUGAGAAAUAACAGUAAAAUGGAGUGGAGGAGACAGUUUCGGCUUCCAUGGCAGCAUGGACACUUCACACGGAUCUGUGCAAGAAAGAAGCUUAGCAAAUGGAAAACCAGCACCCCCUGUUUGGUCUGUCAGCAAAAUGAAGUCACAGGGAGAACUAGGGGUGGGCCUUGGAAGCAGAGAGAUGGACAACCUGGAAAGAAUGGAAGGGCAAUGCUAGAAGUCAGAGACAACUGUAACAGAGAUGAUGAAUGGGCUCAUCAGUAGACCGCAAGUGGCGGGGUCAGAAAUUCAGAUCUACAUGAAGGAAGAAUGUUAGAGAAGGGUUACGUGAAGAUGAAAUAGAAUCUGUUAUUUUUAUACAUCUUAAUCUUACAGAUUAAGGUUUGUUCAGAGUAAUAAUAGGAACAAUGCACUGGGUACAAAUGCAUGAGUGACAUGAAUGGUAGUGAUGUUAUAGGAGGCAGGAGGGAGGAAUUGAGAGUACUCUGUUAUAAAACAUCUGUACUACCCUUGAAGUCUUACAGUGCUAUUUGAAAGCGGACUUGGGUUAUUUAUAAAUGCAUACUGUGAAUUUAAGGGCAACUACGUAAUAAAGUAAAAAAAAAAAAGAAGUAUAAUUGAUGUGCCCAGAGAGGAGUAAAAGUCAGAUCAUAGACAACAUUCAAUUAAAACUGGAAAGGGCAGAAAAAGAGUAGAAGACAAAGAAUAAGUGCAAUAAAUAGGUAAGAGCAACAACCUGUUAAACAGUAACCCAAACAUACAAAUCGCUGUAAAUGUCAUUGACCUACCUGCUCCACUUACACCUUCAGAGUAGACAAACCCACUGUAUGUGGUCUAUAAGAAAUGCCCUUUAAAUAUAAAGACCUAGGUUAGAAGUGAGGACACGGAGAAAGAUACACCAUGCUAACACUGAUAUUUUUUUAAUAUUUGUUUAUAUUUGAGAGAGUACGAGUGGGGGAGGGGCAGAGAGAGAGAGGGAGACAAGGAAUCCGAAGCAGGCUCCAGGCUCUGAGCUGUCAGCACAGAGCCCGACGCGGGGCUCAAACUCACGAGAUGUGAGAUCGUGACCUGAGCCGAGGUCGGACACCCAACUGACUGAGCAACCCAGGUGCUCUGCAUGCUAACACUAAUUUUUAAAAAAGCUGGAAUAGCUACAUUUUCUUAUGGAGCUGACUUAAGAGCAAGAAAAGUUAUCAGGGAUUACAUGUGAUAAAGGAGUUGAUUCUCUAAGAAGACAUAGUUCUUAAUGUAUACCUGCCUUACUAAAAUACCACGAUACAUGAGGCAGGAACCAUAAGUCUGCAGGCAUAUAUAGACAAACCCAUGGCUACAGUGAAGACUUCAGCAUCUCUGUAUCUGGGUGGACAGACCCGACAGGCAGCAGUUCAGUGAGGACAUGGUUGAACUGAAGAGUUCAGUGGGAUCAGCUGCAUUUGAUUGAAGUUUGGAGUGUGUUCCAUGCAACAACAGCAGAGUACGCAUCCCCAAGCUCACACGAAACAGUCACCAAAAUAGACCACGUUCUGGGCCAUACAAUACACCUUAAAUGGAAGGGAACAGGAAUAAAAAUAUUCUCGCAGACCACAGUGGACUUAUCCUAAAAAUUUCUGACCCAUAACUGGAGAACUCCCACUUUCUUGGAGAGUAGACAGCACUUUUCUGAAUAAUACACAGAUCAAAGAAGCCUAAGAAAUUUGUAAAAUACUUUGAACUAAAAAAGAGAAAAUAAAAGUGAUCAAAAUUUGCGGGAUGCAACAAAACUCAUGAUCUCACAGUCCGUGAGUUUGAGCCCCACGUCGGGCUCUGUGCUGACAGCUCGGAGCCUGGAGCCUGCUUCUGAUUCUGUGUCUCCCUCUCUCUCUGCCCCUCCCCUGAUCAUGCUCUCUCUCUCUCUGUCUCAGAAAUAAACAUUAAAAAAAAAGAAAAAUAGUAAAACUUAAGAGAUAAUGCAAUUGAAAAGCAAGAAAAUCAAAGAAGACAAAAACUGGUUCUUUGAAAAGAUCAAUAAAAAUAAACUAGGUUAACUAAAAAGAACUAGAGAAGAUAAAAAUUACUAAUACCAGAAAUGAAAAACUGAUUAUUACUACUUUUAGUAGGAAUAAAGGACAAUAAAGGAUGAUGAAGGAAUAUUAUGAGCAACCCUGCGUCCACAGAUUUGAUUAUGUAGGUGAAAUGGACCCAUUCCUUGAAAUACACAAUCUGUCAACAGUCACACGAGAAGAAAUGGGCAAUCUGAAUAAGGCUGUGUCUAUUUAAAAAAUGAGUAAUCAAUUUCCAAAGCAAAGCACCAGGCUCAGAUGGGUUACUAGUGAAUUUUACCAAACAUCUAAGGAAGAGAUUGUAUCCAUUUUUACAUUCAGUUCCUAUAGAUAAAAGUAGAGGGAAUGCUUCCUUAUCGUUCUGUGAGACCAGCAUUUAACGUGAUACCAAAAACUGUAACAAAAGCAUUACAAGAAAGGGAAACUACAGGUUAGUAUCUCUCCUGGAAAGGAAAACUGCAGGCUGUCUCUCAUGAAUAUAUAAAUUUCUGCAACAAAAUAGCAAAUAAAAUGCAAUAAUGUAUAAAAACUAUAUACCAUUACCAAGUGGGAUUUAUUCCAGGUAUGCAAGGCUGAUUUAAUGUUUGGAAAUUAACGUAAUUCAUCAUAUCAGCAAACUAAGGACAACAACCCAUAUGACUCUACCAAUAGAUACAGGAAAAGCAUUUGACAAAAUCUAACAACUGUUCAUGCUUAAAAACUCCCUGCAAACUAGGAACUCAGGGGACCCUCCUCAAUUUGAUAAAGAACAUCUAAAAAAAAUUACAGUUAACAUCAUACUAAGUGAUUUACCACCAAGUCAGGAGCAAGGCAAGGAUGUCCCCUCUCGCUGUUCCUUUUCAAUAUUGUCCUGGAAGUCCUAGCUAAUGCCAAUAGGACAGUAAAAGGGAAUCAAAAGUAUAUCCCAAGAAUCAAGAAUAAAUCUGGAAGUAAUAAGUGAUUACAACAAAGUUGCAGGAUAUAAGGUUAACAUACAGAAACCAAUCGCUUUCUUAUAUAUCAGCAACAAAUAAUCGGAAUUUGAAAUUCAAAGGCAAUGUCAUUUACAUCAGCCCCCC